rnacentral:rRNA from 1 species
UACAGAGGUCUCAACCGUUGUUCGGAUUCAUUGGGCGUAAAGGGUGCGUAGGCGGUCGCGCAAGUCGGAUGUGAAAUCUCAGGGCUCAACCCUGAAACUGCAUUCGAUACUGCGUGGCUAGGGUACUGGAGAGGAGACUGGAAUUUACGGUGUAGCAGUGAAAUGCGUAGAUAUCGUAAGGAAGACCAGUGGCGAAGGCGAGUCUCUGGACAGUUACCGAGCUGAGG